UGUAAUGAAAUAACGAAAAUCCCUUCCGAGAUCUGAGGCAGCGGCCAAUCACCGUUGACGACCAAUUGCCGAAGCCGCCCCUUCUUCUUCUCCGGCUUCCUCUUCUCAGGGGGAGAGGGUAGGGAAAAAGAAGGAUGUCAUCUUGGGAUCCAAUCAACCUGGCCGUCCAUGUGGCCCGCGGACGCUGGUUCACCCUCUUCGCCUCCUUCCUCAUCAUGACUGCCUCCGGCGCCACCUACAUCUUCUCCGCCUACUCGGCCGCCAUCAAGUCCUCCCUCGCCUACGACCAACGCACCCUCAACACCAUCUCCUUCUUCAAGGACCUCGGUUCCAGCGUCGGCGUCCUCCCCGGCCUCGUCAACGAAGUCGCCCCGCCCUCCGUCGUCCUCGCCACCGGCGCUGCCAUGAACUUCUUCGGUUACCUCAUGAUCUACCUCGCCAUCACUGGCCGCACGCCUCGCCCCCGCCUCUGGCAGAUGUGCCUCUACAUCUGCGUGGGCGCCAACUCGCAGGCCUUCGCCAACACCGGCGCCCUCGUCGCCUGCGUCCGCAACUUCCCCGAUAGCCGCGGCGCCGUGCUCGGCCUCCUCAAGGGCUUCGUCGGCCUCAGCGGCGCCAUCUUCACCCAGCUCUACCUCGCCUUCUACGGCCACGGCGGUGACCCUAGGUCGCUCGUCCUCCUCGUCGCCUGGCUCCCCGCCGCCGUCUCCCUCGUCUUCCUGCACACCAUCCGCUACAUGAAGCCUCCUCCUCAUCGUCAUCAAUCCCAUGAGUUCAAGGUCCUGUGCUCCUUGCUCUACAUCACCCUCGCUCUCGCCGGAUUCCUCAUGGCCGUGAUCAUCCUGCAAAGCCGCUUCGAGUUCUCCCAGCGCGCUUACACGGCCGGCUCUGUCGUCGUCCUCAUCCUCCUCUUCCUCCCUCUCGUCGUGGUCGCGAGAGAGGAGGCAUCGAAUUGGAAGCGCGGCAAGCCACCUAUCGGAGGUCCUCCGCUGGAAUCCAAACCGAUCGAUCCGAAAGCAUCGAUCACAUCACCAAAGAAAAACUCAGUAACAUCCUCCUCAGCCCUAGCCGACGUCUUCAGGGCCCCAAAGAGAGGCGAGGACUACUCCAUCCUGCAAGCCAUCGCGAGCGUCGACAUGCUCAUCAUCGUCAUCGCCACCAUCUGCGGCGUUGGCGGAACCCUGACCGCCAUCGACAACAUGGGCCAGAUCGGCCAGUCCCUCGGCUACGAUGCCCAGAGCGUUGCCACCCUGGUCUCCCUUAUCAGCAUCUGGAACUACGCCGGCCGCGUCGUCGCAGGGUUCGCCUCCGAGAUCCUGCUAGUCAAGUACAGGCUUCCCCGCCCCCUUCUGCUCACUCUGGUCUUCCUCCUAUCCUGCGCCGGCCACCUCCUCAUCGCCUUCGGGAGCAUCCCGGCCUCGCUAUACGCCGCAUCGGUGAUCACCGGAUUCUGCUUCGGGGCACAGGUGCCGCUGUUCUUCGCCAUCAUAUCGGAGGUGUUCGGGCUGAAGCACUACUCGACGCUGCACAACUUCGGCGGCGCAGCGAGCCCUAUCGGGUCAUACAUACUGAACGUGAAGGUGGCCGGGCAGUUGUACGACCGCACGGCUGUGCGGCAGAACGCAAUCGGCAACAUGUCAAACUCUUCCUUUGCCUCUUCUUCCUCGGAGUCAUCGUUGGCGACAUGCGUCGGAGAGGAGUGCUUCAAGCUUGCAUUCAUCAUCAUUACGGCGGUGACGAUGGCAGGGGCUGCGGUGAUGCUGGUGUUGGUUUGGAGGACAUGGGAAUUCUAUAGAGGAGAUAUAUAUAGCAGGCACAGAGGAGGAGGAGAGGCAAAGAAGGAACUGGAGGAGAAAGAGGAGAUGGUGCCAAUGCUUGAGCAAAGGCUUGACUGAGAGAUGCAUACACAAUAAAUUGAAAGAGAAUUGCUGGAGAAAUAGAACAACAGGACAAGAGUUUCUAAGAGUCUUAGGUUUCAAGCUCCAAAUUUGGCCAUUAAAUUCAAAAGCAACUCGAAUUCCAAACCCCUUUUGGAGGGAAACCAACCUCAAGAGGUGGCUCAGAAGGUGCACAAAAAGGUAGUAGUCCCUUGAGGCAAGACAAGGAUGAAGCAUGCACAAGACUUCCAAUAGGUUAUUCAAUUGCAUGGAGAACAAGGCACCAUCAGCUCUCUAUGAAUGGAGAAGGAAAGGAUUAGGAGAGAGGAAAUUAAGACUCUUCUCCUAAAGCUUGCCAUUCCAUUAUCUCGUCCCUUGGCUGGCUUCACCUUCUCCAUCAUCGCCAAAAAGAGUAGAACAAGUAGCAAAUCUCCCUCUAGUACAUCAAGCCAAGUAGAUCAGUUCAUGGAUUCCUCCCCUUGCAUUUCUCUCUCUGAAUUUGAGGAUGAGUUGAGCUUGCAAGGCCAGGAAUCAUCUUCCAUGUGCCUACAAGAAGAAGAAGAAGAAGAAGAAGAAGAAGAAGAAGAAGAAGAAGAAAUCAUGAGGGUGCAAUGUCCAGAGAACCCAUGUGAGGUCUCCAUCAUCAAUUUCCAAGAUGCACAUAGCUUGGAAGAAGAGGUUGAAAGCUUGAAGUGCCUUGUAGAUUCAAUCAACGGCAGAUCAUGUGAGGUCGAAUCGCAAUUCUGGGACUACUGUGAUGCAAAAGAACAGGAAUCACUGUUGCAGAAGCUGAAGCUCGAGUGUCUGGGUUUGAAGCUCGAGUGCCUGGAAGCCCAGAAUCAGAGGCUUGAGGCCACCAUUUCCAAACAACAAGGAGCUCUUGAAAGCCUCGAGUCUAUGAGAACAGAGCUCAAAUGUCUAUGGUGGAAGGCCAAAAAGUUGUCCAAACUAAAUAGGCUUCAUUUGCAUGAAGCUCGUCGGCAGGCUCUGAUUCUGGAUUCUCGAGAUGCCGAGUUAUCAAAGAUCAAUGAGGAGCUGAAAGGAGUAAAAGAUAUAGCUGAUCAACUACUGAAGGGAAAGAAAGUCUUAGAUUCAAGGAUGGAUUCAUUUACGGCAAAUUAUCAAUCUGCAUCAGAGAGUAAAGAGGAGACACUCCAGGACAGCAUCAGGAUUUUAUCCAACAAUGAAAUGCCUGAUCGACUAGACCAGUUUCGAUACCGGUGCUACCUAGAAAUGGAGGAGCUGAUUUAUCUGGGCUGGGUUGGAUCAUGCUUGAGGAAUGAACUUGAAGUAAAACCAGUGCAGGAAAUGGGAGGCCAGUGGAUCAUGGAGCUCCCAGCAAAUGACCAGGUCAAGAGUUUCAGGGUGGAACUCCAUGAUACAGACCGUUCUUCACCGGUUGCAGGCAUUGGCCAUGAAGCUUGCUCAGUUGCCACAGCAAGGAAGAAUCAUUCAUGUCCAGAGAAGCCAACAUAUUGUUCUUCAUCAGUUACUGAACUUGGUCAUGAAGCUUGCUUGGAUGUGGCAGCAAGGAAGAAUCAUUUAGGUUUGAUGAAUCAAGAGGAAGAAGAACAUGAAGUAAAACCAGUGCAGAGAAUUGGAGGCCAGUGGAUCAUGGAGCUCCCAGCAAAUGACAACGUCAUGAGUUGCAGGGUGGAACUCCAUGACUCAGACUGUUCACCAGUACCAGGCAUUGGUCAUGAAACUUGCUCAGGUCCAAAGAAGCCUAUCUAUUGCUCCUCGUCAGUUGCAGAACUUGGUAUUGAAUCUUGCUUGGAUGUCGCAGCAAGGAAGAAUCAUUCAGGUCUGAAGAAGCCAAAAUUGCUUUACAAGCUCAAAGGAUGGGCCAGAGGAAAGGGAAAGCCGAAACAGUUUCGCGAUUGAGAUGACGGUGGAGGUGGCGGCGGCAGCAGCUGCUAGAGAUGGUGUGUCUGGGAUUGAAGUGUGAAGGUUAUGCAAGGAGAAAGACAGUUUGAUAUGGUUACGAGUGCAUGACAUUGUAUCAGAAUUUAACAUACAAAUCUCAAACUUAAUAAUCAUUUUCCUGCUUUGUUC